ensembl:miRNA MIR628 microRNA mir-628
AUAGCUAUUGUGUCACUUCCUCAUGCUGACAUAUUUACUAGAGGGUAAAAUUAAUAACCUUCUAGUAAGAGUGGCAGUCGAAGGGAAGGGCUCAUCUGACUUCUGGAA